CGACCGGGGUUAAUGUGUUCUCGGGGCUAUGGUGUUUUGUCUAUAUUUUUGGCCUUUAUUUCGUUAUAUGUGAUUUACGCCAUCUAUUAAAGAGUAGAGAAACUAUUUGGUUACGAACUUACGCAAUGACGACAUCUCUAAUAUUACUACUUUACCGAUACGGCCAUUUUUUCAGAGUCGUCAGUUAUUUGGCUAGAUUGACGUUGUGCGUGUAAUUUACAAAUUCGCUUUUUAAAAUUAAAACUGUGGAUGAUGUGAAUUUAUUUUAAGAUGGUGCGUCACUAUAAGCGAAAAACUAAUGAUUCAUAUUCUCAAGAGUCACUCCAAAAAGCCGUAGAAAUGGUCAAAACAAAAGAAAUGAGCACAUACAAGGCUGCUGCAAUAUUUGGCGUACCUCGAUCAACUAUACUAGCCCGAGUAAAGGGACAUCGUGGUGCGAAAUAUGAUCAUCGUGGUAGACCAACUACAUUCACGGCGUCUAUUGAAAAAAACAUAGCUGGAGUUCUACAUACUAUGGAGCAGUGUGGGUUUGGUUUGACAAAAAGAGAAGUUAUUGGGCUAGUAGGCCAAUAUGUGACUCGGAACAACAUCAGCACUACUUU